CUAAAAUUAAUAAUAGAAAACUUAUCAAUUUGUUUUGUAUCUUAGUUCACUGAGGAUAAGCUCAGUAAAAAUAAUAAAAUAGUAUAUAUCUCAUUUAAUUAGCUAUAUGGGCUUGAAAUUAGCCAUUGUGUUAAAGUUUGUUACAAAAUAGUUUUUAUAUACAGAAAGAUUGAUAUACUUUUUUUACAGGGGUAACAUGAAAAAUCAUGAUAUCUUGAUUCACUUAUGCUAGGAUGAGUAUUGAUGUAUAAGAUAUAUAAACAAAAAUAGAAAGAUAUAUAAAAUAACUUUGCUCAAAACAAAAUAAGAAUAAGGAAUUCAGCAACGCUUAGCUCCGCCUGUUUAUCAAAAACAUGGCUCUUUGUUAACCAAAUAUAAAGAGUCAGACCUGCCCAGUGAAGUUUUAACGGCCGCGGUACUCUGACCGUGCAAAGGUAGCAUAAUCAUUUGCCUUAUAAUUGAAGGCUUGUAUGAAUGGUUUGACGGGAGCAUUACUGUCUUUUUCUUACCCUAUAGAACUUGACCUUUGGGUGAAGAGGCCCAGAUACAGUUGAAAGACAAAAAGACCCUGUCGAGCUUAAAAAGGAAUACAGAAUAAUUUUAUUAUCCAAGAUUAAUUACUGACUAAUUUUUUUGGUUGGGGCGACCAAGGAACAAAAAAGCUUCCUCUAUUUUCUUAGCUAAUAAGCAUGGAUCCAGAAAAAGCUGAUUAAAAGAAGUAGUUACCGCAGGGAUAACAGCAUAAUCUCUCUUGAGAGACCUAAUCGAAAGAGGGGGUUGUGACCUCGAUGUUGGACUAGAAUAUCCCAAAGAUGCAGAAGUCU
rnacentral:rRNA from 1 species